AGCGAACGCUGGCGGCAGGCCUAACACAUGCAAGUCGAGCGCCGUAGCAAUACGGAGCGGCAGACGGGAGAGUAACACGUGGGAACGUACCCUUCGGUUCGGAACAACCCAGGGAAACUUGGGCUAAUUCCGGAUACGUCCGAAAGGAGAAAGAUUUAUCGCCGAAGGAUCGGCCCGCGUCUGAUUAGCUAGUUGGUGAGGUAAUGGCUCACCAAGGCGACGAUCAGUAGCUGGUCUGAUAGGAUGAUCAGCCUCACUGGGACUGAGACACGGCCCAGACUCCUACGGGAGGCAGCAGUGGGGAAUAUUGGGCAAUGGGCGCAAGCCUGAUCCAGCCAUGCCGCGUGGGUGAUGAAGGCCCUAGGGUUGUAAAGCCCUUUCGGCGGGGAAGAUAAUGACGGUACCCGCAGAAGAAGCCCCGGCUAACUUCGUGCCAGCAGCCGCAGUAAAAC
rnacentral:rRNA from 1 species